CGUGGCGAUUCAAUCAACGAUCCGAUGGAAAGUAAUUUUUAUAUCGUACUCACAAAUUAUUUUCGCCCACGUCUGGCUACUCGGGCGAUGUGUACACUAUCGUACAUAUUUUUCGUUACCACGGUUAAAUAAUGAUUAGCUUAUUAUUUGGAUCGGUGAGAUGAUAAUUGAGAGGCAAGGUAGCGGUCACACAUGCGUGAUCGCUAACUAUACCGGUAUCGUCUGUAUUUACUCGUUGGGGGGAAAUCAGCAGGAUCUGUUCGCCGCUGUUGCUUUUGCUGUUACUCUUGCAUCGCGGAACAACGCCGGUACAGGUAUAUGUAUAACGGGUAAUGCGCGGCUCUGAAAUGUCGUCGUAAUGUUAUGUCAGAGCUGCAUUCCGAUCUACUCGCAAUACAAGUGACGUCAUUUAACGACGACUCCACCGAUUGACCGGUAAGUUUUUCGCGUUAUAAUUUCCCGCGACCGUCGAUUACGUUAUAACCGCACACAUCGGCCACGGUUUCGCAAAUGUUGCAGCCUCAAAUACCACCAAAUGGAAUUGUUGCACGCGAGAAUGACGUCUACGCACUUGUCGCGUGUCGCUAGCUAUUAGGGGGAUACUUUUCUCCUACGAAUUUCGGAUUUAGAAACUUUCUUCUCUUUUACGAGACCGAUCAGUUUCAACGCGAAGCCUGCUUAUUAAUUUGUAUCAUUUAUUUACAGAUUUUUUGCCCCUUUCAUUGUCGUCAAUCCAAUCGAUCGAUCGUGCAAUCGCUUGUCUGGACUACCUUUUAUGAUUUUCCAUCUCAAGUGCAACGUAAUAAGAAUUACAUUUGUUUAUUUUAAUUAAUUAUAUCUAUCCAGGCAUAUAAUGUUGCGAAACACGUUAUCAACGUACGAGUGUUCGUGUAUAAAUACCAGGUUCAUAUAAUACAUACUUGUGCGAAUUGCGAUAUUAAUUUUCGUGUACGUAUGUAGGUGCGUACACGAAUGCGAAAUUUCAUUUUUAUGUAACCAAUCUACGCGCAUCGUCAGAAAAAUUUUUUGUUACAAAUAUCGUAGCUGUUAUAUAUCGGCAAGAAUUGCGGCGGUGGGCCGGUGUAAUUAUUAUUAUUUUUUUUGUUUCGUCGAAUACCAACAACAUACGCGACCAUGAAAAAUUCGCGGCGUACACACGUGUGCGUGUGCGUUAAAUUAUAAUCGCGAUUCUCAUGUCGUCAAAAACGAAUCAACCGUGCUUGUUUUUGAAUUUCGUUUUAUCGCAGCUCUACGAGCCCAUCUGCGGCUGGAUCGGUAAUUGACGCGGAAAACAGGAGAGAAGAAAUGGAGAAACGAGAAAAGGGGGACGUCGAAUCGAGUCAUGCACUUCUGGUGCAAGUGCAUUGGACGAUGGCGUCAACGGCAUCGCUUCAUGUAAUACAUCGAAUCAAUUCUCGCGUCACCUAAGCAAACCAAAUCUGCAGCUGAGCUUGCGGUUUUCGUUAUCAUUUCCCCACUUCAUUUCUCAUGGAAUCCCAGGUCUUUCCGCACACGCAUAAAGGUAUACCUGUGUAUGGUGGACGGAAAAUGAGAGCGAAAAAAAUGAAACGACCGUUUCAUUCUCUUCAUCAGUUUUUUUUUUAUUUAUUCUUCUUAUUCGAUCUCGCGGUUUAUUAUAAAUACAUGGAAAAUUUUUUUCUUACCGAUUUCGCCACCGCACCAUCGCUUCGCCGGGUGCAUGUCACGCAAUUGUCCGAUGUGCGUAGGUAUAUAAUAAUAAAAAUGACGAUAAUAAUGUACAUUAUCUCUCGGCUGUGAUUCCCGAUUCUCGGAGACAAAACGAAAUUUUGUAACCGUAAAGUUAUCGAGUUUAUCGUAAAAAUAUACAACGAAGUGGGGCGAAUCGGGUCAUUUGAGGUAAAACGUAAAACACGAUCGCGAUCAUUCGAAUAAUAAAAUAUUUUCUAAAAUAAAGCUCCUCCAAAAAGUUUGAAAAAAAAAAAUGAAAGACAAAAAUUGACUAUUACAUGUUCGAAUCAAAGGCCUUCGUAAGAACAAAAGGAGACAAAAAAAAUUUGUGUCGUCGAGUUCCACUCUAUUUGCCCGGUUAUAAGAUAUACGUGUAAACUGAAGUAUCUAAAUAUAAAAUGCAGACGAUCUUUUAGUCUGAGGAUACGAGAGAAGGAAGUUCAGGAAGAAAUGACGAAGGACUUCGAUGGUUUCGUUCGUUGAAUACGCAUAUAUAGCGGCUGUAUAAUAAUGAUAUUCCCCCACAGUUGGAUCGAACGGCGACGGGUUCAAGUCCUACGGAAGAUUAAAUCACGUUUCCGUUUUCGGGUUUCCGGUUCUUAAAACCACGGGUAGGUACCGUGUAACGCGCAAGAUUGUCACGUAUGACCUUAACGCGCGCGCGACGACAUUAUGCCGCGUGUUGUCCAUAAGCUCGAACGGUUCAAUUAACACAAGUACACGUAUUCGUGCGACGUCUACCUGCUCAUCGAGUUCUAAUUCGGAAAAUGUACUUUGAAUCAUACGUACGAAGCGUGUAGACCGCCAAAAACGGUACACCAAUGCUGCACACGAUACGGGUAUAAAGGUCGCGCCGAAAGGAGGGAGGAAAAUGGUUUCGAAGCAGAAACAUAUGGGAAGUAUUCUUUCAACACGCGAUCAAACAUCGAAAAUAUUUCAAGAAGUAUUACGCGUACGUUGACGCAAAUAUUGAAUGAAAAAAAGUCGCAAAGUUUGCAGAAAUUAAACCCACAGCUAUAACGCGAUAAGGUUCUCCACACUUUCCCUGCGAGCUACGCGUUUUGAACCAUUUUCUCUUAGACUUAUUUUCGUUAAUUUUUAUUGGAAUAAAGAGAAUGUAGCAGAUAAAAAUUGAAAACAGAUGAUAAGGUGUAUGAUAUAAUGUCCUGCAAUAGUCGAUCAACGACGAUGAUGACAGGCACUUGCAGCUGACCCCAAUUUUUCGGUUUUUAUUCGACAAUGUUUGCCUCGCGUACAUUAGUUGUUCAAAUGAAAAAAUGGUAUAUACGUAAAAAACUUACAACUAUACGAGCAUGUGAUUCGCGGGUGGCUGAAAUCUGAUUUCAUAUGCUAUACAUGCACGCCGUAUUAUGGCCAUAAGUACCUACGUACGUAGUAUACGUACGGGUACGUCAACAACUUUUAAAAUUUGGAUUCUCCCACAUUUGCGGUCAACGGUGACGUUUGAAAGAGUGAUGUGAGUAAACUUUUAAAAUAAUUCAAUGAAUAAAACGAAGGAUAAUAUAGUAUACGUGCACACGCUUCGUAUAUUUGUCAUAUAUUGGCUUGUUAGAUUCGUAGAAUACUGUAUUAAUAUUCAACGAUCACGAUCUUUGUCCACGUUAUAAUUAUAAAUACGCAUCUUCGAUUUUCAAUUCUUUUGUUCCCUUUUUGCAAAAAAUGAACAAAUCGGGUGGGAAAAUGGAUAUUAACGAUGAUGAUUUUUUUUUAUUUUUUAAUACCGCAGGACAAGCUCGAAAAAAAAAAGAUAUGCCCCAGCUUCUCAUUGUUAUUCAAACGACAAACUUUUUUUUUUUACGAAACUAACAGCGCCAUCAAUUUUAAUAAUUCACUCACAUACUCGUACAGGUAUACAGGUAUACAGCCGGAUCUUAUUGUGCGGAACAUCCGUGUUGCGAAAUUGAAUAUAAUUUACGAAAAUUAAAAAUCGAAACGAUCGACGGGGAGCGUGAUGAAGUAUAAUAUAUUUGGGCGAUGCAUGCACCUCGGAUGGUCGAUUUGGAUCGGACUAGACGAUAAAAAAAAAAGACGGAAUUGAAUGAACGGACGUUUGAAACGAAAAGCCCGUGAUAACGUUACGUGACGAUUACACCGAUUUUAACAGUGGCGCAGUUUCGUGUAUGCGACUAAAUAAACGCUGGAUAAUUUUGCCGUGACUAUAGUCGAGUUAUAACCGCGCAUUAUGUAUAUGCACGAUUAUACAACAAAACUAAACUAUUUCGUGAUACAAACUGGAGCCGAUACAUAUAUAUAUAUAUAUACGUGUAUAAUCACACGUACAUUGGUCGCAUCGGCGCGAUUUCCCCGCGUGAUCAAUUCGACACGCAAAAUCAAUACAACGUAAGAAUAUAUAAUGCGAUCCGAUACAUAAUACCUCAUGUACAUAACCGCGUGUACGAUACAGUUUUUUUUUUUUUUUUCUCAUCUUAUAUCAUUUUUAUAUCGAAACCGCAGACUCUGAAUAGGUAAUAGACAAAAACAACGUUGAAAAAUUAUUUCCGAACGCCAUCCGAAUUGUGGCGGGUAUUCGAUUAGUUACACCUGCUUUCAAUCUCGAAACUCGCAUACCGACGUGUACAAUGUGCCUAGAAAUUUCAUUUGAAACGAAAUAAAAAUUCAUUUGGAUUCGAAGG